rnacentral:rRNA from 1 species
ACCCUUAACUCGGAUAAAUGUUUUACAGUUGGAAUAAAGGGGCAACCGAAACAGAAGUGUACUGUGGUCAUCCCAGAGACCUUCCGUAUCGGUUCGCGCUCGUGUCCUGCAUUGAAGCGCACAGACGAGUGGAAGUAUUUAGGCAUAACAUUCACUGCACAAGGGAGGACCAGGUACAGUCCAGCCGACGACCUAGGUCCGAAGCUGUUGAGGCUGACAAGGUCCCCCCUAAAACCACAACAGAAAUUGUUCGCACUCAGAACAGUUCUUAUCCCACAACUUUACCAUAAGCUGACCCUAGGUAGUGUGAUGAUAGGUGUUCUGAGAAAGUGUGACAUACUGGUACGUUCGACCGUAAGGAAGUGGUUAGGGCUUCCUCUGGACGUGUCAACUGCAUUCUUCCAUGCUCCUCAUACUUAUGGGGGCCUCGGAAUCCCUUCAGUUCGUUGGGUAGCGCCAAUGCUACGUAUGAAAAGAUUGAGCAAUAUUAAGUGGGCCCACCUCGCGCAAUCCGAGGCGGCCAGCUCAUUUCUUACCGACGAAUUGAAUAAGGCCCGGGGUAGAACUCUGGCUGGACUGAAUGAGUUGACAUCGCGUACAGAGAUCGAAACGUACUGGGCGAACAGGUUGUAUAUGUCUGUUGAUGGUCGCGGCUUACGUGAAGCGGGACUUUUUCGUCCCCAACACGGCUGGGUGUGUCAGCCCACGCGUUUGCUAACAGGUCAAGAUUACCGAAACAGUAUCAAGCUGCGAAUAAAUGCCCUACCAUCGAGGUCUCGUACCACGAGGGGCAGAAAUGAAUUGGAACGGCAAUGUCGUGCAGGUUGUGAUGCUCCCGAAACAACAAACCACAUCCUGCAAAAUUGUUACCGUACGCAUGGGAGGCGGGUAGCAAGACAUAACUGUGUAGUCAAUAACCUUAAGAGGAUUCUUGAGGAGAAGGGCCACACAGUACACGUCGAACCAAGUUUGCAGCUGGAAACCUCGGUAAGUAAACCAGACCUGGUGUGUAUCCGUGACAAUCACGCCUGCGUGAUUGAUGCGCAGAUUAUAACGGAUGGACUGUUUCUCGACGAUGUGCACCAUCGCAAAGUUGAGAAAUAUAAAAGACCGGAAGUUAUAUCUGCACUGCGGAGAGAAUUCGGAGUGUCGGGCAACGUCGAAGUCCUAUCCGCGACGUUAAACUGGCGUGGGAUCUGGAGCAAUCAAUCCGUUAGAAGAUUGAUAGCAAAGGGUCUCAUCUCAUCCGGUGACAGCAAUGUCAUUAGCGCCAGAGUGGUAACAGGCGGACUAUAUUGCUUCAGACAGUUCAUGUAUCUCGCAGGUUACACUCGAGAUUGGACUUAGCCUAUACACUAUGUUGGAGAGAAGACGCUUGCUACCUAGGCAAAAUGUGAAAUUAGGUAUAAACAUCGUGGUUGUAAAACUUGAGGUGGGUUUUUAGUACGUAUGCGUGAUUACUUCGUAAUCAUGAAUCGUGCAUGCUAGUGGGGUUUGGCCUCCACUAGUAUCUUUGAAGAUUUUCCUUCCUCAGCGAUCAAAAAAAAAAAAAAAAUAGCCAAAUGCCUCGUCAUCUAAUUAGUGACGCGCAUGAAUGGAUUAACGAGAUUCCUACUGUCCCUAUCUACUUUGGGGCCACCAACCCGUGACUGUUUUGGAGUCAAAAUUGGUAGUGUCCUUCGUGGCACGAAGCCUGACCGGAGGCUUUAUUCUGGUACCACGGGAGCCAGGGCCCGCGGAACUCGUUUCCGUCCUGGCUAUUGGUUGCGGCCCCUUGGGGAGCUUCGUGGUGGUUGUGGUUAACACUCAAGCGAGUAGACGUGGAGUUGCGUUAUACAACCUGGUGCUGUGACCCACAGAUCAGCAGAGGUUUAGAUAGCCUCGCUCCACACCAGGGAGGAAGACAUGACCAAAACAGAUUGUCUUCAACUGGUACCGGAUGAACCGGGGCGCUGAUUGACGCUUAAAUUAAUCCUGUGCUUGGCACCGUGAGAUAAAGCCAAUACGGCAGGUGUUCACGUAAAACACAUUGACUUUAAUGUCCCUAUCUACUAUCUAGCGAAACCACAGCCAAGGGAACGGGCUUGGAAUAAUUAGCGGGGAAAGAAGACCCUUUUGAGCUUGACUCUAAUCUGGCAGUGUAAGGAGACAUAAGAGGUGUAGCAUAAGUGGGAGAUAUUAGAUUUUGGUUUGGUAUCGACAAUGAAAUACCACUACUCUUAUUGUUUCCUUACUUACUUGAUUAAAUGGAACGUGUAUCAUUUCCUAGCCAUUAUACGGAUAUAUUUAUUAUAUCUUAUGGUAUUGGGUUUUGAUGCAAGCUUCUUGAUCAAAGUAUCACGAGUUUGUUAUAUAAUCGCAAACAAAUUCUUUAAUGAGAAAUGCAUUUAUGUAUUUUCAAUUUGAAAAUUUGGUAUAACUCCAAUUACUCAGGUAUGAUCCAAUUCAAGGACAUUGCCAGGUAGGGAGUUUGACUGGGGCGGUACAUCUCUCAAAUAAUAACGGAGGUGUCCCAAGGCCAGCUCAGUGCGGACAGAAACCACACAUAGAGCAAAAGGGCAAAUGCUGACUUGAUCUCGGUGUUCAGUACACACAGGGACAGCAAAAGCUCGGCCUAUCGAUCCUUUUGGUUUAAAGAGUUUUUAACAAGAGGUGUCAGAAAAGUUACCAUAGGGAUAACUGGCUUGUGGCGGCCAAGCGUUCAUAGCGACGUCGCUUUUUGAUCCUUCGAUGUCGGCUCUUCCUAUCAUUGUGAAGCAAAAUUCACCAAGCGUUGGAUUGUUCACCCAUGCAAGGGAACGUGAGCUGGGUUUAGACCGUCGUGAGACAGGUUAGUUUUACCCUACUAAUGACAAAACGUUGUUGCGACAGCAUUCCUGCGUAGUACGAGAGGAACCGCAGGUACGGACCAAUGGCACAAUACUUGUUCGAGCGAACAGUGGUAUGACGCUACGUCCGUUGGAUUAUGCCUGAACGCCUCUAAGGUCGUAUCCGUGCUGGACUGCAAUGAUAAAUAAGGGGCAAUUUGCAUUGU